ensembl:lncRNA
ACCAGUCAGGAAUUAUUCAUUUCCCCUCAUGACCAGUCUCAAUGUCAGACAAGUUAAUGUCAUCACGUGUCUGCAAAACCUCAUGCCUUACAAGGACCUCAAGCUGGCUGUAAACACUAAAAUGAUGACUUCAGUGUGUACGCUGCGCGAUGUAUUUCCAGCUCCUGAGAUACACUGGACCAUCCACUACAACCACUCUGAAUCCUUAGUUGACUCGAAGUAUGUCCACACUAAGACAGAGCAGGACCCUGAAAACUAUCUGUACACCUCCAGCAGCACUCUCCACAUCCCUGCAGGUCCUUACCGAGCCAUUACCUGUCUGUGCCACAACCCCACUUCAAAUACGACUCUGAACGCCACCUAUACUUUAAGCAAAG